UCAGCUCUCUUUGCCAACUGGCUUAGAUCAAGUGUAGUAUCUGUUCUUUUCAGUUUAAUCUCUGAAAUGACACCACGCGUGUCUGACUUUGAUUAAAUUUAUUUUUGCACGCCGCAGGAGACUCUUCUCGUGCUUGCACCGAGGGUCUCUGCACCGUGUCCGAGGCCUUCACACUGCCGCCUUGUGACGCGAAAGCAC
rnacentral:snRNA from 1 species